UACGAAGGGGGCUAGCGUUGUUCGGAAUUACUGGGCGUAAAGCGCACGUAGGCGGGUGGUUAAGUCAGGGGUGAAAUCCCGGAGCUCAACUCCGGAACUGCCUUUGAUACUGGCCAUCUAGAGAUCGGAAGAGGUGAGUGGAAUUCCCAGUGUAGAGGUGAAAUUCGUAGAUAUUGGGAAGAACACCGGUGGCGAAGGCGGCUCACUGGUCCGAUACUGACGCUGAGGUGCGAAAGCGUGGGGAGCAAAC
rnacentral:rRNA from 1 species